rnacentral:rRNA from 1 species
UAGUGGCGAACGGGUGAGUAACACGUGGGCAAUCUGCCCUUCACUCUGGGACAAGCCCUGGAAACGGGGUCUAAUACCGGAUAACACUCCUGUCCUCCUGGACGGGGGUUAAAAGCUCCGGCGGUGAAGGAUGAGCCCGCGGCCUAUCAGCUUGUUGGUGAGGUAAUGGCUCACCAAGGCGACGACGGGUAGCCGGCCUGAGAGGGCGACCGGCCACACUGGGACUGAGACACGGCCCAGACUCCUACGGGAGGCAGCAGUGGGGAAUAUUGCACAAUGGGCGAAAGCCUGAUGCAGCGACGCCGCGUGAGGGAUGACNGGNNNUUCGGGUUGUAAACCUCUUUCAGCAGGGAAGAAGCGAAAGUGACGGUACCUGCAGAAGAAGCGCCGGCUAACUACGUGCCAGCAGCCGCGGUAAUACGUAGGGCGCAAGCGUUGUCCGGAAUUAUUGGGCGUAAAGAGCUCGUAGGCGGCUUGUCACGUCGGGUGUGAAAGCCCGGGGCUUAACCCCGGGUCUGCAUUCGAUACGGGCUAGCUAGAGUGUGGUAGGGGNAGAUCGGAAUUCCU